AACGGAGGAGGCAAGCGUUAUCCGGAGUGACUGGGCGUAAAGAGCGUGUAGGCGGUUGAGUAAGUUGGGUGUGAAAGCGCCCGGCUAAACUGGGCGAGGACAGGCAAGACUGCUGAGCUAGAGGCCGAUAGAGGGGUGCGGAAUUCCGGGUGUAGCGGUGAAAUGUGUAGAGAUCCGGAGGAACACCAGUGGUGCAGACGGCGCCCCGGAUCGGACCUGACGCUGAGACGCGAAAGCGUGGGGAGCGAACGGG
rnacentral:rRNA from 1 species